CGUUCCCAUACCGAACACGGAAGUUAAGCUCUUCAGCGCCGAUGGUAGUUGGGGGUCUCCCCCUGUGAGAGUAGGACGUCGCUGGGC
rnacentral:rRNA from 1 species